rnacentral:pre_miRNA from 1 species
GAGAUACCCCUAUGGAGCAGGACUUGCUUCAGUGGGACUUUGGUGUUAAUUGAGUCUGCCCCUUGAGUGUGUUGCU